CCACAGCCCUUGCUCUGUGGGGCUCUUCCCUCUGAGUGCAGCACCCCAAGUCAGGACUGCAGGAUCCGGUCCCACUCUGCUGGAGUCUCUGGGGUCUGAUGGCAGCAGCCUGACCCUUCCUGCUGACAGGCAACCUUCUCAUCCUGGGAAAACACAGUUUUAGACCAAGGGUUUUUCAGAAGUCAUCUCGGAGGGACAGUAAAAUGUUGGCAUCUGGAGGCACGAGGAAACGGAAUGGGAGAGAGCUCAUGUCAAGACAGCGUGAAUCUUCCCACGGUUACUUUUCUCCAAAGAGGACUGUGCUGUGGCAAACUCUGCUGGCAGGAUGAGGACACGAGGCUGGAAACACCAGCACACUCCACAGGCAGCAGCCGGUGGCCGGGAGUGACGACUGAACUGGAGACGCAGCUCAAGCUGCCAUGGCUGAAAUUUCACUGCAAAAGUUUCUUGUUUCGCCUUUUACUCCUUUGAUCCGCUGGAAGAUCAAGUUUCAGGGGAACAUCAGCCAGGACAAGCUGCAGAGGGCUAGAAUUACAGCAUGUGAAGCAGCAGGGCCAGACGAGAUCGCUUUCAGGCUAAGCUGGUCCUUACACAACUAAAGCCAGAGCCUGGACUGAUGGAGAGCCACGUCAGCUACUCUUAUUGUUAUAGAUACAG
rnacentral:lncRNA from 1 species